rnacentral:rRNA from 1 species
UGGGGAAUAUUGCACAAUGGGCGAAAGCCUGAUGCAGCAACGCCGCGUGAGUGAUGAAGGUCUUCGGAUUGUAAAGCUCUGCCUUUUGGGACGAUAAUGACGGUACCAAAGGAGGAAGCCACGGCUAACUACGUGCCAGCAGCCGCGGUAAUACGUAGGUGGCGAGCGUUGUCCGGAUUUACUGGGCGUAAAGGGUGCGUAGGCGGAUGUUUAAGUGAGAUGUGAAAUACCCGGGCUUAACUUGGGUGCUGCAUUUCAAACUGGAUAUCUAGAGUGCAGGAGAGGAGAAUGGAAUUCCUAGUGUAGCGGUGAAAUGCGUAGAGAUUAGGAAGAACACCAGUGGCGAAGGCGAUUCUCUGGACUGUAACUGACGCUGAGGCACGAAAGCGUGGGUAGCAAACAGGAUUAGAUACCCUGGUAGUCCACGCCGUAAACGAUGAGUACUAGGUGUAGGAGGUAUCGACCCCUUCUGUGCCGCAGUAAACACAUUAAGUACUCCGCCUGGGAAGUACGAUCGCAAGAUUAAAACUCUAAAGUGAAUUGACGGGGUC